GAUAAAAUGUCACGUGAGUGUAACAGAAUGUUCUCAUUCGCAAUGAGAAGGUCGGGGGUUCGAAUCCCCCUAUCUCCA
rnacentral:tRNA from 1 species